rnacentral:rRNA from 1 species
UACAGAGGGGGCAAGCGUUGUUCGGAAUUACUGGGCGUAAAGGGCGCGUAGGCGGUUCGUUAAGUCCUGGGUGAAAUCCCCCGGCUCAACUGGGGAACUGCACAGGAAACUAGCGGGCUUGAGUUCGGGAGAGGGAAGCGGAAUUCCGGGUGUAGCGGUGAAAUGCGUAGAUAUCCGGAGGAACACCAAUAGCGAAGGCAGCUCGCUGGGACGGUACUGACGCUAAGGCGCGAAAGCGUGGGGAGCGAACAGG